rnacentral:miRNA from 1 species
UAGACAUGGUUCUUAUCUUGCAUAUCCAAGGUGGAUAAAAGUUCCAAAAGGUAGGAUUUGGGGUGGGGGGUGGGGCCUGAGGUAUU